AACGAACGCUGGCGGCAGGCUUAACACAUGCAAGUCGAACGCCCCCUUCGGGGGGAGUGGCAGACGGGUGAGUAACGCGUGGGAACGUGCCCUUCAGUUCGGAAUAACCCAGGGAAACUUGGGCUAAUACCGGAUACGUGCGAGAGCAGAAAGAUUUAUCGCUGAAGGAUCGGCCCGCGUCUGAUUAGCUGGUUGGUGAGGUAACGGCUCACCAAGGCGACGAUCAGUAGCUGGUCUGAGAGGAUGAUCAGCCACAUUGGGACUGAGACACGGCCCAAACUCCUACGGGAGGCAGCAGUGGGGAAUAUUGGACAAUGGGCGCAAGCCUGAUCCAGCCAUGCCGCGUGAGUGAUGAAGGCCUUAGGGUUGUAAAGCUCUUUCGGCGGGGACGAUAAUGACGGUACCCGCAGAAGAAGCCCCGGCUAACUUCGUGCCAGCAGCCGCCGUAAGAC
rnacentral:rRNA from 1 species